UGGGAUGUUGAUGUUGUUGAAAUCGAAACUCAAUCUUCGGUUCACAAAACCCUAGAUCAUCCCCCAAACGAACCCGACCCGGAUUCACCUCUCGAAUUGGAUUCAGUUUCGUCAUCGGUUUCAUUAGAAUCUGCACGUCCUUCAAUCGCUGAGUCGAAUGUUUCUGGAGGGUCAAAUUCACCUCCUAAAUCGGAAGGGAGGAGGAUAUUUUACCA
rnacentral:misc_RNA from 1 species